rnacentral:rRNA from 1 species
GACGAACGCUGGCGGCGUGCUUAACACAUGCAAGUCGAACGGAAAGGCCCUGCUUUUGUGGGGUGCUCGAGUGGCGAACGGGUUAGUAACACGUGAGUAACCUGCCCUUGACUUUGGGAUAACUUCAGGAAACUGGGGCUAAUACCGGAUAGGAGCUCCUGCUGCAUGGUGGGGGUUGGAAAGUUUCGGUGGUUGGGGAUGGACUCGCGGCUUAUCAGCUUGUUGGUGGGGUAGUGGCUUACCAAGGCUUUGACGGGUAGCCGGCCUGAGAGGGUGACCGGCCACAUUGGGGCUGAGAUAGGGCCCAGACUCCUACGGGAGGCAGCAGUGGGGAAUAUUGCACAAUGGGCGGAAGCCUGAUGCAGCAACGCCGCGUGCGGGAUGACGGCCUUCGGGUUGUAAACCGCUUUCGCCGGUGACGAAGCGUGAGUGACGGUAAUGGGUAAAGAAGCACCGGCUAACUACGUG